rnacentral:tRNA from 1 species
UCCCCAGUGGCUCAGAGGUUAAAGCGUCUGCCUGCAAUGCAGGAGACGUGGGUUCGAUUCCUGGGUUGGGAA